rnacentral:rRNA from 1 species
UACGGAGGGUGCAAGCGUUGUUCGGAAUCAUUGGGCGUACAGCGCGUGUAGGUGGCUUGGCAAGUCGGUUGUGAAAUCCCGGGGCCCAACCCCGGAACUGCAUUCGAAACUGCCUCGCUAGAGUCCCGGAGAGGAAGGCGGAAUUCCCGGUGUAGAGGUGAAAUUCGUAGAUAUCGGGAGGAACACCAGCGGCGAAGGCGGCCUUCUGGACGGUGACUGACACUGAGACGCGAAAGCGUGGGGAGCAAACAGG